AACUUCGUUCGAGGUGUUCCCAAUAUCCAAGAAUCAUGAAAUUAAAUCUGGAAUGUCCUUAAAUAUUGAAUUUUUGAUUUGGAAUGUUUGGGCACCAAACUCAACCCGCUGAAUAUUUUUUUAAAUUUUUUAUUGGAUUUCGUAUUUUUCAAUUUUUUUUACUUUUUCGACUAAUUUUUUUGUGGGAAAUAUUUUUUUUAUAAUCAAUCACAGUGCCAUAAAUAUGCAUGUAAAAUUUCAGAUAAUCGGAAAACGUUUACCUACUCGAAUGAAUUUUUUUCCAAAAAAUUUUCUAGGUAAAACUGCUAUUUGUUGUUUUAAAAAAAGAGAUCAGUUUAUAAAUCAACCAAGAACACCAAAAAUGCCCAAAAUUUGAU
rnacentral:lncRNA from 1 species